AGCCCAGCUUCUGUAGUUUUUCAGUGGGCUUGGCUUUUUGCCCCCUUCUCGAGCGACAUAAUUAGGCUGCGGCUGUAACAAGCGUUCCGUCCGACUACAUCAUUAGUAACCUAGGUCCAUUUCAGCCAAACGCCUACACGGGUUGUCUCGGGAAUUCGCCUCAUAUCCCGAAACAAAAUCCAAAAGCGAAUUCUUUAAUUACGUCGUGGUUAUGACAGUUAUUAGCCUCGCUAAUAUUAGCACGAAGAAAAAAAAACCACCCUCGAGUUGGCGCGGUGGCCGAGCAGCUCAACUUGAGGGGUAAUCGUCGGCAGCAGGGUAACGUCGGUAACGUUAAACGAGUAGCCCCGGAGCCCCGUAACGCCAGUAACGUUAAGCAGUGUGUCAUUCGGACCAAGGAGUGCGGCUAGCUAACGUUAGACUCCACGGAGGUAACGUUGACACCCAACGUCACGUUCGAAUUGUGAAACGUUCGCUGGGGCGAAUCGAAUCAAAUCGACUCAACCUCAUCGAGGCUGAUCAAGCGGGUCUCGUCGCGUGAGACAGCUGCGGUUAUCAAUAACGCUGCCGUAAGAGGGUCUCGCCUUAAGCCAUUCGCUCAGCCAGAAACUGACCCAGAGACGGCCCUCCUCAGUCUUUACCCUUCUUCUCAGGUUUUUUUGGAGGCACUGAGAGAGGCUUCUUUGCAGCUUUGGAUGACACUUUGGCGAUCUUAAUCAGAGGCUCAUUGUCAGAGCUGUCAUCUGUGUUCAAAUCUGAAAAAGCAGGUGAAAAGUUUGUUUUCAUCUUUAUCAGCGGCUCAUCCGCUGAGGAGCCAUCAGAAGCUACAACAGGAGAAGAUAUACACAUACAAAUUUAGCACCCUUUGCUUUCAAUGGCCACGAUAUGCCAAGUUGAAAAUAUUUUACUUAAAAUUGGGUUAACGGUUUCUCCUCACUGUGUGGCCUCGUCAGGAGCUUAGAGAGUUGUAUAAAGUCGUCAGACGUGGAACUGCCCUUCCCUGAUCAGUUAGAGAUACAAUGGGAUAAAUACGAGUAAAUGCCACAUCCCAAGUUUGGUUUGGUAAAAUGGUCAUAAACAGUCAUCAAUAAAUUUGGACACAGUAAACUACAUUUUUCUUCUAGUCUACAUUUACUGAUUUUAUUUUUAUUUUACUGUAGGUAUUUUCUGGUACUCGGGGCAAACUCGAUCUUGCCAACAGUUGACUUAGAAAUGUUAUACUAAUGUACAGAUAACUACUCUUUAACAAAUCAUGGGAGACUGAAAACUAGGCACGUCCACAAUCAAAGAAAUUCACAGCCAAAGGAUUUGUUUGACUAAUCAGUGUUUAUUUCAUUUAAAAAUAUGUAAAAAAAAUGUUCCCUGGUGUUAUGGUUCAUCUACAAAUGAAUGCAGUUUGAUGCAAUGUGAUUACUUGGAAAGCAUAUUUAUGAAUGUUAAAGAUUGUUGAUUAAAAGAUUAUUAAUUUUUAUGGCCAUUUGCCUUUAUCUGAUGGUAUGAUCUGAUAGGGGAAAAU